UACCGCUUCAUGGCCUAAGGCGUUACUAGAGUCUGUCUUUGGACAUCAUCAGAGCAGGUAAAUGGUACUUGCUAUCACUUCAGGGUUAGAUAAUGUAUUGCCUAGUUGGUGGGUCUGCUUGCUCUCAAAUCUGUCUCCCCCUUUCCCUGCUGUUUUUUUUUUUAAUUGAGUAAAAUACAUAAAGCAUAAAAUUUAUUACUUUUGCCCUUAACCAUUUUUACUUCUACAAUUCAGUGACAUUGAGUACAUUCAUAAGGUUGUGCAAACAUCACCACUACCCAUUUGCAGAUGUUUUUCAUCACCCCAAACAGAAACUGUAUCCAUUAAGCAAUCAUUUCCCACCCUCCCCACAGUCUCUGGUAACUUCUAUUCUACUUCCAGCCUCUAUGAACUUGCCUACUUUAUGCACUUCAGGCAGGUGAAAUCAUUUAAUAUUUGUUCAUUUAUAUCUGGUUUGUUCCACUUAAACAGUGUUUUUCAGGUUUAUCUAUGUUAUAAUAUGUAUUUCAAUUUCAUCCCGUAUUUUAUUUCUUUAUUGUGGUAAAAAAUCUUCAACCAUUUCAAUUGUACAGUUCAGCAGUGUUUAGUUCAUUCCCACUGCUGUGAAACCGAUCUCUAGAACUUUUUCAUCUUGCAAAUCUAAAACUUGGCCUCCUCAUGGCCCCAGGCAGUAAUCCUUCUACUUUCUGUCUCUGUGAUUUUGACCAUUCUCAGUACCUCAGAUAAAUAGAAUUCUACAGUGACUGGUUCUUUCACUUAGCAUAAGGUCCUCAAAGUUCCAUGUCAUAGCAGAUGUCAGAAUUUCCUUCCAUUUUGUGACGGAAUGAUAUUCCGUUCUGUGUGUAUAUCACAUUUUGUUUGUCCAUUCAUCUGUCACUGAAUACUUGUGUUGCUUUCCCCUUUUGACUCCUGUCCAGAGUACUGCUAUGAACAUGGGUAUAUCCCCUGCUCCUGUGUGAUGGAAAGUUAUGUCUUCCAGGUCCCCUUGGCAGCUGGUUUCUGGGAAUUUGACCAGUGGAAAGCUCUGGGAGAAGAUCGGAAGGGGAGAGACGGGGAGAGUGGAGGGUCUUUCUGCUCUUCUCUCUCUGCUUCUGGAGGCGUCUGGACAGCCCUUCCCCUCAAGGUUUCAGCUCCAGGCAGAUGCUUCCUUUCUACCUUCGCCAACCUCUGUAUCACCCGGCUGUCUCUUUCCUGCCUUCCCAUGUCUGUGUAACUAAAAUUUAAGAUUCUUUUGAUGCUGAGACACAACACAGUAGCACUUCAAUAGAUAAAAGGCAGAACUCUUUGAUACAUACAGAUCCCCAUGAGAGAAAGCUGCCCCGCUGAGCCAUGCAGGGGGACAAGGUAAAACCAAGUUGGAACUAUAGGAGGUGCUUCUGUAGGGUAAGCUGGGUGGAGUGAGCUAGGUUUUAUGUGCUCCCUAGGGAUUGGGUAUUUUGAAAAAUUCCUUGGAUCCAAGAAAGAAAGGGCCAUCCCUGGUGUUUGAUAUCAGGAGCCUCUAGCCUUGGAUAUGUGUGUAUUGUAAUCAGUGUGUGAAAGAGGCUGAUAAGGAAAGGAGUUAGACACAUUGGCGAUAUAGCUCAGUUGGUAGUGUGCUAGCCUCCCAUGCACAAGGCCCUGGGUUCAAUCCCUGGGACCACACACACACAAGGAGCAGUUGGAGUCAGCAGUUGGAGUCAGGGCUUAGUGAACUGCCUAUGACAGGGAAUUGAGAGUUGUCAGCUUAUGACUUACUUCAUGGUCAAGAUCACAGUUGUGAGGGGCUGGGGAUGUGGCUCAAGCGGUAGCACGCUCUCCUGGCAUGCGUGCGGCCCGGGUUCGAUCCUCAGCACCACAUACAAACAAAGAUGUUGUGUCCGCC
rnacentral:lncRNA from 1 species